rnacentral:rRNA from 1 species
CCUACGGGUGGCAGCAGUGGGGAAUAUUGCGCAAUGGGCGAAAGCCUGACGCAGCGACGCCGCGUGAGGGAUGAAGGUCUUCGGAUCGUAAACCUCUGUCAGCAGGGAAGAACGGUCACUGUGCUAAUCAGCAGUGCAUUGACGGUACCUGCACCGGAAGCACCGGCUAACUACGUGCCAGCAGCCGCGGUAAUACGGAGGGUGCGAGCGUUAAUCGGAAUUACUGGGCGUAAAGGGCGCGUAGGCGGCAUGUCAAGUCAAAGGUGAUAUCCCCGCGCUCAACGUGGGAACUGCCUUUGAAACUGGCAAACUUGAGUGCGUGAGAGGAUAGUGGAAUUCCAGGUGUAGGAGUGAAAUCCGUAGAUAUCUGGAGGAACAUCAGUGGCGAAGGCGACUAUCUGGCACAUAACUGACGCUGAGGAGCGAAAGCGUGGGUAGCAAACAGGAUUAGAUACCCGUGUAGUC